AACGAACGCUGGCGGCAUGCCUAACACAUGCAAGUCGAACGAUUGCCUUCGGGUGAUAGUGGCGCACGGGUGCGUAACGCGUGGGAAUCUGCCCUUAGGUUCGGAAUAACAGCUGGAAACGGCUGCUAAUACCGGAUGAUAUCGCGAGAUCAAAGAUUUAUCGCCUGAGGAUGAGCCCGCGUUGGAUUAGGUAGUUGGUGGGGUAAAGGCCUACCAAGCCGACGAUCCAUAGCUGGUCUGAGAGGAUGAUCAGCCACACUGGGACUGAGACACGGCCCAGACUCCUACGGGAGGCAGCAGUGGGGAAUAUUGGACAAUGGGCGCAAGCCUGAUCCAGCAAUGCCGUGUGAGUGAUGAAGGCCCUAGGGUUGUAAAGCUCUUUUACCCGGGAAGAUAAUGACGGUACCGGGAGAAUAAGCCCCGGCUAACUCCGUG
rnacentral:rRNA from 1 species